CCUACGGGAGGCAGCAGUGGGGAAUUUUGGACAAUGGGCGAAAGCCUGAUCCAGCCAUGCCGCGUGAGUGACGAAGGCCUUAGGGUUGUAAGGCUCUUUUGCCGGGGACGAUAAUGACGGUACCCGGAGAAUAAGUCCCGGCUAACUUCGUGCCAGCAGCCGCGGUAAU
rnacentral:rRNA from 1 species